rnacentral:rRNA from 1 species
AGUGGCGGACGGGUGAGUAACGCGUGAGAAUCUGCCUUCAGGUCGGGGACAACAGAGGGAAACUUCUGCUAAUCCCGGAUGAGCCUUAGGGUAAAAAAUUUAUUGCCUGGAGAUGAGCUCGCGUCUGAUUAGCUAGUUGGUAAGGUAAAAGCUUACCAAGGCAACGAUCAGUAGCUGGUCUGAGAGGAUGAGCAGCCACACUGGGACUGAGACACGGCCCAGACUCCUACGGGAGGCAGCAGUGGGGAAUUUUCCGCAAUGGGCGAAAGCCUGACGGAGCAAGACCGCGUGGGGGGAAGGCUCUAGGGUUGUAAACCCCUUUUCUUUGGGAAGAACAAAAUGACGGUACCAAAGGAAUCAGCCUCGGCUAACUCCGUGCCAGCAGCCGCGGUAAUACGGAGGAGGCAAGCGUUAUCCGGAAUGAUUGGGCGUAAAGCGUCCGCAGGUGGCAAUGUAAGUCUGCUGUCAAAACCCAGGGCUCAACUCUGGUCAGGCAGUGGAAACUACAUAGCUAGAGUUCGGUAGGGGCAAAGGGAAUUCCCGGUGUAGCGGUGAAAUGCGUAGAGAUCGGGAAGAACAUCGGUGGCGAAAGCGCUUUGCUAGACCGAAACUGACACUCAGGGACGAAAGCUAGGGGAGCGAAUGGGAUUAGAUACCCC